AGGGGAGUAGCUCAGUUGGUAGAGUAGUGGUCUCCAAAACCAUUGGUCGCAGGUUCGAAUCCUGUCUCCCCUGCCA
rnacentral:tRNA from 3 species